UACAGAGGGUGCAAGCGUUAAUCGGCAUUACUGGGCGUAAAGCGCGCGUAGGUGGUUUGUUAAGUUGGAUGUGAAAUCCCCGGGCUCAACCUGGGAACUGCAUUCAAAACUGACAAGCUAGAGUAUGGUAGAGGGUGGUGGAAUUUCCUGUGUAGCGGUGAAAUGCGUAGAUAUAGGAAGGAACACCAGUGGCGAAGGCGACCACCUGGACUGAUACUGACACUGAGGUGCGAAAGCGUGGGGAGCAAACAGG
rnacentral:rRNA from 1 species